GACGAACGCUGGCGGCGUGCUUAACACAUGCAAGUCGAACGGAAAGGCCCUGCUUUUGUGGGGUGCUCGAGUGGCGAACGGGUGAGUAACACGUGAGUAACCUGCCCUUGACUUUGGGAUAACUUCAGGAAACUGGGGCUAAUACCGGAUAUGAGCUCCUGCUGCAUGGUGGGGGUUGGAAAGUUUCGGCGGUUGGGGAUGUACUCGCGGCUUAUCAGCUUGUUGGUGGGGUAGUGGCUUACCAAGGCUUUGACGGGUAGCCGGCCUGAGAGGGUGACCGGCCACAUGGGGACUGAGAUACGGCCCAGACUCCUACGGGAGGCAGCAGUGGGGAAUAUUGCACAAUGGGCGGAAGCCUGAUGCAGCAACGCCGCGUGCGGGAUGACGGCCUUCGGGUUGUAAACCGCUUUCGCCUGUGACGAAGCGUGAGUGACGGUAAUGGGUAAAGAAGCACCGGCUAACUACGUG
rnacentral:rRNA from 1 species